CUCCGCGCCCCACCCCUGGCUCCCGCUCCACAGAGCAAGCCCUCCCCGGCGGGCGGAGACUGCGGCGGCGGGGGCUGGGUGGGCGGCCAAGCGCCGCUAGGCGCUCGGUCCCGGCUGCCGCUGCAGUUGGAGCACAGGUCUCGCCGGCGAAACUUGAGGCCAGCGGCGCAGACGGGGUCCGGGCAGACGCGCGGAGGUGGGGGCGAGGUGGAGCGGAGUCGGGAGGAGUAGGGACUCUUUAAACACGUGCGUCUGAAAGAGGUGGCAAGCUGCGGAAGGCUACCAUGAAGUCAGAGGUUAAUGUGUGAUGCAGUUUGAACCCAUGAAUUAUAUAUUUCUUUUUGCCUGGAAUACAUACCUGAUGCCUGGAGGAACAGCAACCAUCUUGCAACUAUGAGGAGAAAAUCAAUUCAUUAAGAAUGCAGAAGUGAAGAAGAUAAAGGGAACCAUGGCCAUUGAUGACAUAACUGAGCCAGCCUAACAGCCCAGAACUUUCUAUUCCCUGACUUCUUGUUGCAUGAGAAAAUAAAAUUUCUCAGUUUUUUUAA